rnacentral:rRNA from 1 species
AUUAAAACAAGUUAUAGAAUAAUAUACUUAAGUUUUUUACAAUCAAAGCAUUAUUAAAUUAAGUAAAGGAGAUUAAAAAUUGUUUUAUACCUCUAAUGAAAGUACUGUGAAGGAAGAACUUUAAUAAUAAAAAAGAAAAAGUUAAUUCUU